rfam:Stegodyphus mimosarum contig127858, whole genome shotgun sequence.
GCUUUUGUGGUGUAGUGGUCAGCAAGCUGGCCGCGUAUUCCAGAGGUCCGUGGUUCGGGUCCCGGCGAAGGCG